ACUAGAUUUUAAGGGAUAAUACAGCUGAUAUAUUUGAAUAAGUAAAAUGAAUUUUAUCUGUUAUGCAACAGACGUGGGUGACUUGGAGAUAUUCCAACCUGCAUUCAAGAGUAAAUUGGGGCAAUCGACAGUAAAUGAGAAAGAAAAAUGGAUAGUUUUGAAGGAAGGGGCACUUUUCAUAUCUUCUUCCAAAACAAGUGGCUCUCCCUUCUAGCUUGAGAACCAGGUCUUGAUACACCCCAUAAAGCAAUUUGGAGACUAUGGGCUAUGAAAUAAACUGAUUUGACUGUGUAAAUGCUUCUUUUAUAAAAAUGUCAUACAAACUUGUCUUCAUAGAAAAACAAAGAUAUCCGCACAGAACAAAUAUUAUCUCCUAGCCUUGAAAAUUCUGAUGCAAUUUCUAAGGAUCCCAAGACCGAGAAUUGGCAUUAAAGAGCUGUGAGACUUA
rnacentral:misc_RNA from 1 species